CAUAGGUUAAUGAGGCGAACCGGGGGAACUGAAACAUCUAAGUACCCCGAGGAAAAGAAAUCAACCGAGAUUCCCCCAGUAGCGGCGAGCGAACGGGGAGCAGCCCAGAGCCUGAAUCAGUGUGUGUGUUAGUGGAAGCGUCUGGAAAGGCGCGCGAUACAGGGUGACAGCCCCGUACACAAAAAUGCACAUACUGUGAGCUCGAUGAGUAGGGCGGGACACGUGGUAUCCUGUCUGAAUAUGGGGGGACCAUCCUCCAAGGCUAAAUACUCCUGACUGACCGAUAGUGAACCAGUACCGUGAGGGAAAGGCGAAAAGAACCCCGGCGAGGGGAGUGAAAAAGAACCUGAAACCGUGUACGUACAAGCAGUGGGAGCACGCUUAGGCGUGUGACUGCGUACCUUUUGUAUAAUGGGUCAGCGACUUAUAUUCUGUAGCAAGGUUAACCGAAUAGGGGAGCCGAAGGGAAACCGAGUCUUAACUGGGCGUUAAGUUGCAGGGUAUAGACCCGAAACCCGGUGAUCUAGCCAUGGGCAGGUUGAAGGUUGGGUAACACUAACUGGAGGACCGAACCGACUAAUGUUGAAAAAUUAGCGGAUGACUUGUGGCUGGGGGUGAAAGGCCAAUCAAACCGGGAGAUAGCUGGUUCUCCCCGAAAGCUAUUUAGGUAGCGCCUCGUGAAUUCAUCUCCGGGGGUAGAGCACUGUUUCGGCAAGGGGGUCAUCCCGACUUACCAACCCGAUGCAAACUGCGAAUACCGGAGAAUGUUAUCACGGGAGACACACGGCGGGUGCUAACGUCCGUCGUGAAGAGGGAAACAACCCAGACCGCCAGCUAAGGUCCCAAAGUCAUGGUUAAGUGGGAAACGAUGUGGGAAGGCCCAGACAGCCAGGAUGUUGGCUUAGAAGCAGCCAUCAUUUAAAGAAAGCGUAAUAGCUCACUGGUCGAGUCGGCCUGCGCGGAAGAUGUAACGGGGCUAAACCAUGCACCGAAGCUGCGGCAGCGACGCUGAUGCGUUGUUGGGUAGGGGAGCGUUCUGUAAGCCUGUGAAGGUGUGCUGUGAGGCAUGCUGGAGGUAUCAGAAGU
rnacentral:rRNA from 1 species